UCACAGGGUUGUGGGGAACCCUCUUUGCAGAGGUGGAGCUGCUGGCUCUUCGGGAGAAGCUGCUCGUUUCCUUCCAGGAUUUUGUGUGGCAGAGACACGCUUCGCUGGGGGCAGCCAAGGACUCCUGCUUCCUGCAGAGAGAGAACUGCACCGGGGUGACGCAGCUGCAUGGUGCCCACUACACGGUGAACGGAACCCUGCUCGUCGACAGUCCUGGCUCCGGUGCCACCCUCUACGUCAAGUCAGCCUGCUCCCCUGGCUAUUUCGGCGUGAGGUGUGCAAGUCGCUGCCUGCCCUGUCCCGGCACUCGCACCUGUAACCCCCUGAGUGGCCGCUGUGAAGGGCUCCUGAGCUGUGUCCGCAGGGUUGGCCCUUCCUGUCUACAUGGUCUGGUGAGCGGGAGGUGCCCUGGAGGAGCUGGCUGGUGGUACUGGGACGGACACUGUUACUACGUGGAGGAGAGCGAUGCCAAUACGUGGCAGCAAGCGGAGGCAGCCUGCAGUGCCUCUGGAGAAGGCGUGGGGCUGCUGGCUCUCGACAGCCUGGAGG